rnacentral:tRNA from 1 species
UGCAUCGGCCGGGAAUCGAACCCGGGUCUCCCGCGUGGCAGGCGAGCAUUCUACCACUGAACCACCGAUGC